AAUAAUUGGAUUCCGUUGCUUCUAACAAAUUGUCUUGUAGUGCCCACCUUUUCGGUUAAGUUAUCAAGGUCUAGGGGAACCCUUGUGCUUUGCUGCAUUUGGUCCUUUUGCUACGACUGCCUUUUACUUGCUUCAAAGCAACACCAGUGAGCUCCCAAUCACAUAUACAACACUUUCAGCAUCAGCACUUGUUGGUUUCACAACAUCACUUAUCCUGUUCUGUAGUCAUUUCCACCAGG
rnacentral:misc_RNA from 1 species